GACUAACGCUGUCGGUAUGCCUUAUACAUGCAAGUCGAACGGAAAGGUCUCUUCGGAGAUACUCGAGUGGCGGACGGGUGAGUAACACGUAGGAAUCUGCCCCAGAGCGGGGGACAACCAGAAGAAAUUCUGGCUAAUACCCCAUACGCCGAAAGGUAAAAGAAUUUCACUUUGGGAGGAGCCUGCGCUUGAUUAGCUUGUUGGUGUGGUAAAAGCACACCAAGGCGACGAUCAAUAGCUGGUCUGAGAGGAUGAUCAGCCACAAUGGGACUGAGAUACGGCCCAUACUCCUACGGGAGGCAGCAGUAGGGAAUCUUGCGCAAUGGACGAAAGUCUGACGCAGCAAUACCGUGUGCGGGAAGACGCUCCGUGGAGUGUAAACCGCUGUCAGGUGGGACGAAAUUUUGACUGUACCAUCAAAGGAAGCACCGGCUAACUCUG
rnacentral:rRNA from 1 species